AGGACGAACGCUGGCGGCGUGCCUAAUACAUGCAAGUCGAACGGUCUUUCUAUGGAAGCUUGCUUCCACUGAGAAGAUAGUGGCGAACGGGUGAGUAACACGUGGGUAACCUGCCCAUAAGAGGGGGAUAACAUCCGGAAACGGGUGCUAAUACCGCAUAGUUUUCUUGAUCGCAUGAUUGAGAAAGGAAAGACGGCCUUUGUGCUGUCGCUUAUGGAUGGACCCGCGGCGUAUUAGUUAGUUGGUGAGGUAACGGCUCACCAAGACGAUGAUACGUAGCCGACCUGAGAGGGUGAUCGGCCACAUUGGGACUGAGACACGGCCCAAACUCCUACGGGAGGCAGCAGUAGGGAAUCUUCCGCAAUGGACGAAAGUCUGACGGAGCAACGCCGCGUGAGUGAAGAAGGUUUUUCCGGAUCGUAAAACUCUGUUGUCAGAGAAGAACAAGUUGGAGAGUAACUGCUCCAGCCUUGACGGUAUCUGACCAGAAAGCCACGGCUAACUACGUGCCAGCAGCUGC
rnacentral:rRNA from 1 species